rnacentral:lncRNA from 1 species
GUUCCAGCACCUCUGAUAUUACCUCACAUGGCAAGAGGGCUUUGAAGAUGUGAUUGAGUCAAGGAUCUUGAAUGGGGAGAUUAUCCUGAAUUACUCAGGUGGACCCAGUGUAAUCACAAAGGUUUUUCAAAGAUGGAAGAGGGCAGAAGAGCCAGAAAAGGAUAUGUGACAAUGGAGUCAGUGUCAGAGUUGGAGUGACGUGAUGUGAGAAGGAUUCAACCUGCUGUUUCUGGCUUUGAGGAUGAAAGAAGGGGCCAUGAGCCAAGCAAUACAGGUGGCUUCUUUCAAGAAGUUGGAAAAGUGGUAAUAUUUUAUGUUAUUUUGGUUUGAUUUUUGUUUGUGGCAUAUGGCUCUGCUGUCCUGUGACUCUAAGUAGAAGAGAAAAUAGUGCCAAUAAUUUCUUCGUGGAGAUGCACCUCUCUCUCUUAAGUCUUGAACAAUGUUUGAGGAAAAGUGCUUUCAGCUGGGCUGAUGAGAACACCUUGGCACUCUUUCCUGCAAUGGGCACUGAUUGAGGGUCUUCCUGGUGUGGCAUCAUCAAAUCCCUGUUGCUCAAACCCACUAAUUAGCUCGUUCUUAUCUACAAGUAGCAGGGGCCCUAAAGCUCUCUGAGAAGAUCUCAUACUGUGUCUCCUACAUUUCAUCUUCUAUAAUCUCUUAUUCUUAGAGACAGAAAGAUGGCUAAAAGACAUCACUUCAUUUCUUUCUCUGGAUUUGGAAAGAGUUAUAUACUGGGAUUAUGCUGUUAGUUUACACUUGCAUUGUUUAAAUUAGAGGAAAGGUUAUUUUGUGCAGAACAAAUAAAAAUUACUCUUUAACUACCUUUCAGAAUAUCCCAACUUUUAACAUAAACUGUUUUGUAAAGGCUGGUUGUAGUGACUUGCUUCAUAAUAGACUAUUAAAAUAAGAUGCAUUGAAA